rnacentral:lncRNA from 1 species
AAAUACAAUUAUUGUAAUAACUGAAUAAAUAAAAGAAACAAUUCACUAUGUAAAAUACUUAUAGUAUGUUCAUAUUUUUAUUUAAAAACAUCUCAAAUACACAUAGACACACACACAUACACAUCCAUAUUAUCUGUUUAUAAAUAAAUACAUAAUGUUAUAUCCAUAAAAUAUCAUUGUUUCCUUUUCUUUUGUUACUUUUUUUUUUUUUUUUUUUUUUUUUUUUUUUUUUUUUUUUUUUUUUUUUUUUUUUUUUUUUUUUUUUUUUUUUUUUUUUUUUUUUUUCUUGUUUUUACAUAUAUAUUUAUAUAUAGUAAAUACAGAAGUACUUGUUAAUGCUUUCAUGUAUGCAUAUAUAUAUAUGUAUAGACAUAAAGUUUUUAAAACUCUGUAUAAAGAGAAACAAAAAAAUGAAAAAUAUGGCCACUUUUAACAAUACUAACAUUAAAUGUUUAAUAUAAGUUACAGGUAGGAAUACAUUAUAAUUAAAAAGAAAUUUAUAAUAAAUAAUAAUAGUGAUAAUAUCA